AUACGGAGGGGGCUAGCGUUGUUCGGAAUUACUGGGCGUAAAGCGCGUGUAGGCGGAUCGUUAAGUCAGGGGUGAAAGCCCGGAGCUCAACUCCGGAAUUGCCCUUGAUACUGGCGAUCUAGAGGCCGGGAGAGGUAAGCGGAAUUCCCAGUGUAGAGGUGAAAUUCGUAGAUAUUGGGAGGAACACCAGUGGCGAAGGCGGCUCACUGGCCCGGUUCUGACGCUGAGACGCGAAAGCGUGGGGAGCAAACAGGAUUAGAAACCCUAGUAGUCC
rnacentral:rRNA from 1 species